GAUGAACGCUGGCGGCGUGCCUAAUACAUGCAAGUCGAGCGAACGGACGAGAAGCUUGCUUCUCUGAUGUUAGCGGCGGACGGGUGAGUAACACGUGGAUAACCUACCUAUAAGACUGGGAUAACUUCGGGAAACCGGAGCUAAUACCGGAUGAUAUUUUGAACCGCAUGGUUCAAAAGUGAAAGACGGUCUUGCUGUCACUUAUAGAUGGAUCCGCGCUGCAUUAGCUAGUUGGUAAGGUAACGGCUUACCAAGGCAACGAUGCAUAGCCGACCUGAGAGGGUGAUCGGCCACACUGGAACUGAGACACGGUCCAGACUCCUACGGGAGGCAGCAGUAGGGAAUCUUCCGCAAUGGGCGAAAGCCUGACGGAGCAACGCCGCGUGAGUGAUGAAGGUCUUCGGAUCGUAAAACUCUGUUAUUAGGGAAGAACAUUUGUGUAAGUAACUGUGCACAUCUUGACGGUACCUAAUCAGAAAGCCACGGCUAACUACGUG
rnacentral:rRNA from 1 species